CUACGUGCCAGCAGCCGCGGUAAUACGGAGGGUGCGAGCGUUAUCCGGAUUUAUUGGGUUUAAAGGGUGCGUAGGCGGCCUGUUAAGUCAGCGGUGAAAUCUAGGAGCUUAACUCCUAAAUUGCCAUUGAUACUGGCGGGCUUGAGUGUAGAUGAGGUAGGCGGAAUGCGUGGUGUAGCGGUGGAAUGCAUAGAUAUCACGCAGAACUCCGAUUGCGAAGGCAGCUUACUAAGGUACAACUGACGCUGAAGCACGAAAGCGUGGGUAUCAAACAGGAUUAGAUACCCUGGUAGUCCACGCAGUAAACGAUGAUAACUGGGCGUAUGCGAUAUACAGUAUGCUCCUAAGCGAAAGCGUUAAGUUAUCCACCUGGGGAGUACGCCGGCAACGGUGAAACUCAAAGGAAUUGACGGGGGCCCGCACAAGCGGAGGAACAUGUGGUUUAAUUCGAUGAUACGCGAGGAACCUUACCCGGGAUUGAAAUGUAGAUG
rnacentral:rRNA from 1 species